rnacentral:rRNA from 1 species
CCUACGGGAGGCAGCAGUGGGGAAUAUUGGGCAAUGGGCGCAAGCCUGACCCAGCAACGCCGCGUGAAGGAAGAAGGCUUUCGGGUUGUAAACCUCUUUCAAGUGGGAAGAGCAGAAGACGGUACCUCUUGAAAAAGCCACGGCUAACUAUGUGCCAGCAGCCGCGGUAAUACGUAGGUGGCAAGCGUUGUCCGGAUUUACUGGGUGUAAAGGGCGUGCAGCCGGGAAGACAAGUCAGAUGUGAAAUCCCGCGGCUUAACCGCGGAACUGCAUUUGAAACUGUUUUUCUUGAGUACAGGAGAGGUCAGCGGAAUUCCCGGUGUAGCGGUGAAAGGCGUAGAGAUAAGGAAGAACACCAGUGGCGAAGGCGGAUGACUGGGCGGCAACUGACGGUGAGGCGCGAAAGCGUGGGGAGCAAACAGGAUUAGAUACCCGUGUAGUC